CAGUAGCCGCGGUAAUACGUAGGGCGCAAGCGUUGUCCGGAAUUAUUGGGCGUAAAGAGCUCGUAGGCGGUCUGUCGCGUCUGGUGUGAAAUCCCGAGGCUCAACCUCGGGCUUGCAUCGGGUACGGGCAGACUAGAGUGCGGUAGGGGAGACUGGAAUUCCUGGUGUAGCGGUGGAAUGCGCAGAUAUCAGGAGGAACACCGAUGGCGAAGGCAGGUCUCUGGGCCGCAACUGACGCUGAGGAGCGAAAGCAUGGGGAGCGAACAGGAUUAGAUACCCCCGUAGUCCUGUCUCUUAUACA
rnacentral:rRNA from 1 species